CUCCACACAAGGUGGGAGGUGAAGUCUGCAGAUGCACCUCUGAACUCUGGGUCUGCACUAACCAAGGACAGCAACUGUGAUUGAGAAGGGAGUGAGUGGAAGAGGACGUCCACGCAUUAAGAGUGUUAUCCAUUGCUAACAACUUUUAAAAAUACAUGCGUGAAUAAGCAAAUCUAAAAACUAUCCCAAGAACAAUGCAACAACCCAGCAACAGGAUAAGCAGAGCAAAAUUGAAUAAAGAAGUUGCUAAUCUUGCUUUGUGGUUCUGUUUACACACUGUAAGUCGUUCCAUUGUCUUCAAGUGAAGCCCAUUUGUAAGUCACUGUAAGCCCAGAUAAAUCAUAUAAGAAACGGCAGAAAGAGACGGGAUUCCUACCUGAUUC